rnacentral:rRNA from 1 species
AUGGGAGAACUAUCGCAUGAGCAAUUCACCUUGCUGGUGGUGACACUCUGGGCCAUCUGGACAUCCCGGCGUAAGGCCAUACACGAGUCUAUAUUCCAGACCCCACAUGCAAUAAGGGCCUUCAUAACACGCUACAUCCAAGAUUUGGAAGUUUUGAUAAAGCCCAGAAAACUGAAUCAAGCAGCGGCCAGAACUACAUCUGGCGUCACUCGACCGAAGGCUCCGCCAACGGGUUAUGCGAAGAUUCAUGUAGACGCAGGAGUUCGUCCACAGAGAGGGGGCUCGGCAGUAGCAAUCUGCAGAGAUAGUCAAGGAGCAUUCAUGGGCAGUUCUGCUUUAGUGUUGUUUGGAGUCUGCGACGCAGCCACUCUGGAAGCCAUCGCAUGCCGUGAAGCUAUUGCGUUGGCGGAGGAUCUUAAUCAACAUCAUUAUGUUGUCGCAUCCGAUUGCAAGCAGGUCAUUGAGGACAUUGCUAAAGGUAGUCAGGGAGAUUAUGGAGUUAUUAUCAAAGAGAUUAGAUCAAGGUCACCACCUUUUACUAGUAGUUUUACUUUUGAAAAACGUGAGGCUAAUUUAGAAGCCCACAAGUUAGCUAAGCAUGCUCUUGCUUUACUUCCGGGGCGUCAUGUGUGGUUAGGCCAGCCACAUGACCCAAUUUGUAUCCCACACUUUGUGGAUUUUGAGUAA